rnacentral:rRNA from 1 species
AAGUCGAGGGGCAGCAUAAUGGAUAGCAAUAUCUAUGGUGGCGACCGGCGCACGGGUGCGUAACGCGUAUGCAACCUACCUUUAACAGGGGGAUAACACUGAGAAAUUGGUACUAAUACCCCAUAAUAUCAUAGAAGGCAUCUUCUUGGGUUAAAAACUCCGGUGGUUAAAGAUGGGCAUGCGUUGUAUUAGCUAGUUGGUGAGGUAACGGCUCACCAAGGCAACGAUACAUAGGGGGACUGAGAGGUUAACCCCCACAUUGGUACUGAGACACGGACCAAACUCC